UACGUAGGGGGCGAGCGUUGUCCGGAUUCAUUGGGCGUAAAGAGCUCGUAGGCGGCUUGUCACGUCGGAUGUGAAAGCCCGAGGCUUAACCUCGGGUCUGCAUUCGAUACGGGCUAGCUAGAGUGUGGUAGGGGAGAUCGGAAUUCCUGGUGUAGCGGUGAAAUGCGCAGAUAUCAGGAGGAACACCGGUGGCGAAGGCGGAUCUCUGGGCCAUUACUGACGCUGAGGAGCGAAAGCGUGGGGAGCGAACAGG
rnacentral:rRNA from 1 species